AGUCUGAUGGGUAGGAUGUCGGUAUAUUAUAUUAUCAUUUUCUGGGAUCUCAUGCAUACACACACACGUUUUUACACAAAAUGACUAAAACUUUGAGAUUAUGUGAUGCAUACACUUUAUGAACAAUUUCUCACCAUAAAGGCAUUGGGAUGGUUUUCUUGUUAGCACAGUAAGUGUCUGUAUUGCCAAAAAGCUGAAAAUGAAUUAGCAGACAAGGAAGCAUUUAGGGCACUUCCUUGUUCCUUGUGGUCUGGGAUGGAGUUACAUGCCAUGUGACACUAAAGCCAAGUAGAUGUUUUGAAAGAAACCUACACACACUACACAGCUAUCUCACUGCUAUUUAACACUAUCCAUUUGGUGCUGAUUUAAAGACUAUGUAAAACUAGUCAACAAUUUCACAGUACUUUGACAUAACAAUGUGUCAGCUCAAUAGGGAGUCUUCAGUUGAACCUACUCACAAACGCAGAACUAAAGGCAUAGCUAACAUAAGAAAAACUACCUUCACUGUACCUCAGAUCACACUGAGAAAAAAGUAAAAGCGCCAAAUGUUAAUAGUUUACUUUAUUAUAGCUGGUAAAUUAGAUACAGUUGUUGUGAGAGUUAAAGCACAGGUUGUCCAGCCUGGAACUAAAAAAAAAACAUUAAAAUAAAUAAACAAACAAGACGCUCACAAAGCAAAGGGCUCAUUCAACUUGAAUUCAUAAAAUAAUAUCAAAUGGGUAAGAAAAUCACAAGCAAAAUAAUAGGCAAGGCUGCCCUUUUGAGUGUGCUGACUCCUUAGGCAAACUCGCUCCUACAGUGUACGGGAAGCUGCAGCCAUAGUCUAACCAAAAUAAGGACUUUGCACUAACACAAUAGUCCAUCCUGUUACAUGUCUGAUGUUUAAACGAUACCACUUAACACAUACCCCAUUCGGUAUUCGCACGGGCAGGUAUUAUUUACAUAGACCCAGAACACUGAGGCAAGAGACCGGAGAUAACGGUACAUAAAACUAUAAAAAAAUAUCAUGCAGAUUGACAAGAUGAAAAAAAAAAACACACAAAAAGUACAAGAGAGAAUUGAAAGAGGAAGUACUCUGAACAUAUGUGAGAGGACGAGGAUUAAGCAUUUUGAUAUUUUCCCACAGAGAGAAUGCAAACUUUUUUUGUCAGUUUACUGUUGCUGCUUUGGGCAGAAUUAGGUGGAUACUGAUUGAAAUCAGUUGCUGAAUUAUGUGGCAUUUUAGAGUUAAGAGUUGAAUGGUAGAUUCUUUACUUUCAGUAGUAUGACCAUGAAAUUAAGAGUGAUGCUAUUCUUAACUUUUCUUUAUGUUCAUUCCCUGUCCAGACUGCCAGCAUUGGUCUAAAGGUAAGCCUAUGUCUUCAUGUUAUAGGUCAUGACCAUUUUUACAUCAAAGUGACAUUAUGCAGAUUCAUGUAGUUUUCAAGGUAGGUUUUGUAGACUGGUAGUUCCUGAAUCCAUUUGGAUGAUACAUGGUCAUGUGAAUAAAUUAAACCUGGUAUUCCCCCUGUCUGUCCCGGCUGUUCACUACAUCGAUCGACACUCUGUGGACGUGUAAGAACAGCAUUUACUGCAUUACAUCUGCGAUUAUGACGGCAAAAGAUUAGUUAGAUAUUAGCUCUACCUGUGCAGUUGUUGGUGUUUAAUGUUGCAAUUAAGUCAUAUUGGUGACAGGUUAUCUAGUAUUUGGUGUAAAUACACUAAAUUGGAUGCAGUGAGACAAACUUGGUGGUGAAAAUCUACAGUAGCCUACUGUACGUAAGUGCUGCCCCGCAAAAACCUAUUUCUGUUCCUAGUGUAUGCUGAACAGACACUCACCACCAGAGUCCAACACCAGCUCUACAUAUUAAGGAGUAAGGAGCUUUACAACUCCGGGGCAAGCAAGGCCUUUUGCAUAUCACAAGCGAGAACUCAACGUAGUAGUGCGAGUUAUUAAAAAAAAUGAAAAGAUCAUAUGCAACUGUAAUGCUAUUGUUAUAUUCCUUUAAUACCUCUAAUAGUUCACUUUUAUUACCAGUAGAUAGAUGCCUUCACUUCAGCAUGUCUAUGAGAACAUCACAGAAUUCCUCAGGUCCUUAGCAUUGAGCCCAUAACAAUUAUGGAUAUGUUCACAACUGUAGUAAGAAUAGGUUUUUAUGCGCCAUACAUUGCUAUUUAAAAAAAAUAUUCUCUUUGAAUGUGAAGUCAUGCAUUCCUCAAAAAUAGAUCUUAUUCUAAACUCAGAUGUUAAAAUGAUGUAAUAUUAUCAAUUACAGUAUCUAUAAAUUAUGGUAUAUAGCUCUAUCAUAUGGCAAGCUAGUGUCGCAUAUUAUUUUAUUAAAUUGCAUUAUUAAGGUUCUUUAAAGUAACAAGAAUGGCAUCUGCCACAGCACGCCUGGUAUUGCACACCAUUUGGGGUACAGGGCGCUAGACCUCUGGAGAGAACAAUGUAAUGCUUUAUGGCCCCACCUCACACAACACCAACUAGACCCAUGCACUAGCUAUAAGAGGAAGAGUCCAUUCUCUGAGUGUUUUGUGAAUUUUGAUUGUUCUUUAUUUCAGCUUCAGGAUAUGAUUGGGCAACCCCAAGUAUGUGAUCACAUGGCCUUUAUCUCACAAUUGUACACAAUUCAUAUUUUGAAAUGUUAUGAUGAUAUAUGAAAUGUCUGGACGGUUCCAGAUGAAGUUCAUUCUUUCUAUAUUUCACAUUUCCUCAGUACUUGUACUUCACUUCCUCAGUAAAUGUUUUAUUUUGCACACAAUGUUUUAAAACUAUUCGUGAGACUCUGUCAUGACUGUUCUUUCUCUCAGCUCCAGGAUAUGACUGGGUCACCCCAAAUCCACAGCAGCACUGGAUGAGACCCACUCCACGGCAACACUGGAUGAGAGGCAGUAGGUUGAUGUUUAACAACAUACAGUACUUUACACUCUUUAAAUAGCCAGUAUGGACACAUUUAUAUUCAUAUUGAUUUUGUUUUAUUUUUAAUUCAAUGUUUUAACAAUUUGUGAAACUCUGUGCAUGUCCUGACUGUUAUUUAUCUCAAAUCCAGGAACCUCAAGUAUGUAACUCGCAUCACAUCACCUGCUUCUCACAUUUAUACCCAAUUAAAUAUUUAAAAUAUUCAGCCUAAAAUUAAAUUAUUUCUCUAUAUAUUUUAGGUCCAUGGAGGCACUGGAUGCAACCCACUCCAGGAUAUGAUUGGGCAACCCAAAAUCCACGGUGGCCCAGGAUUAGACCCAGUACGUUUAUGCUGAUCAACAUACUUCAUACAGACUCUUCAUAUAGUCAGUAUAGCCAAACAUUUGUGAGAUCUUUCAGCAAAUUACAGCAAGGUUUUGUCCAUGUCUUUCCACAGUUUCCAUUCAAGUGAUUUGAGAUAUUGUGUCAAGUGAUCACAUAUGACCUUUAAAAGGGCACUUCCUGAAAACUUUGUAAAUAACAAACAAACCCAAUGACUCAAAAACACAAUGAAUUACCUAGGGUUAUCAACUACCAAAUUUCUUGGUCCAAAGUGAUAUUGUAGUACAAAUAAAGUUCUACAUCCUG